rnacentral:rRNA from 1 species
UACGUAGGGGGCAAGCGUUGUCCGGAAUUAUUGGGCGUAAAGGGCUCGUAGGCGGUUUGUCGCGUCGGGAGUGAAAACACCGUGCUUAACACGGUGCUGGCUUUCGAUACGGGCAGACUAGAGGUAUGCAGGGGAGAACGGAAUUCCUGGUGUAGCGGUGAAAUGCGCAGAUAUCAGGAGGAACACCGGUGGCGAAGGCGGUUCUCUGGGCAUUACCUGACGCUGAGGAGCGAAAGUGUGGGGAGCGAACAGG